rnacentral:rRNA from 1 species
GACGAACGCUGGCGGCGUGCUUAACACAUGCAAGUCGAACGGAAAGGCCCUGCUUUUGUGGGGUGCUCGAGUGGCGAACGGGUGAGUAACACGUGAGUAACCUGCCCUUGACUUUGGGAUAACUUCAGGAAACUGGGGCUAAUACCGGAUAGGAGCUCCUGCUGCAUGGUGGGGGUUGGAAAGUUUCGGCGGUUGGGGCUGGAUUCGCGGCUUAUCAGCUUGUUGGUGGGGUAGUGGCUUACCAAGGCUUUGACGGGUAGCCGGCCUGAGAGGGUGACCGGCCACAUUGGGACUGAGAUACGGCCCAGACUCCUACGGGAGGCAGCAGUGGGGAAUAUUGCACAAUGGGCGGAAGCCUGAUGCAGCGACGCCGCGUGCGGGAUGACGGCCUUCGGGUUGUAAACCGCUUUCGCCUGUGACGAAGCGUGAGUGACGGUAAUGGGUAAAGAAGCACCGGCUAACUACGUG